AUUGAACGCUGGCGGCAUGCCUUACACAUGCAAGUCGAACGGUAACAGGUCUUCGGAUGCUGACGAGUGGCGAACGGGUGAGUAAUACAUCGGAACGUGCCUAGUAGUGGGGGAUAACUACUCGAAAGAGUGGCUAAUACCGCACGAGAUCUACGGAUGAAAGCAGGGGAUCGCAAGACCUAGUUCUCUUAUAGCGGCCUAGGGCAGAUUAGGUAGUUGGUGGGAUAAAAGCUUACCAAGCCGACGAUCUGUAGCUGGUCUGAGAGGACGAUCAGCCACACUGGGACUGAGACACGGCCCAGACUCCUACGGGAGGCAGCAGUGGGGAAUUUUGGACAAUGGGCGCAAGCCUGAUCCAGCAAUGCCGCGUGCAGGAUGAAGGCCUUCGGGUUGUAAACUGCUUUUGUACGGAACGAAAAGCCCCGGGUUAAUACCCUGGGGUCAUGACGGUACCGUAAGAAUAAGCACCGGCUAACUACGUGCCAGCAGCCGCCGUAA
rnacentral:rRNA from 1 species